UAACAACUGAAAGGAGGUGAUCCAGUGUCUCAUUGUCAUCAACCGCUGUCGCGGGGACUGCAUGGCCUGGACUCGUCCCAUGAGGGGUUCGGUUCCGUUUGAGUUUUCGCGACGCUAGGCCCGGUUACCGGGGCUGCGGUUCGGCAAUGGAAGGGCUGCCCGCGAGGGCAGCCCU
rfam:Bosea sp. WAO WAO_contig_4, whole genome shotgun sequence.